UAGCUAUUUAUAAAUAUUUGAAUCAGAUUGUAACCUUUAUGUAUUUAUAUAUUAUUUAUAUUAUUUUUACUAUAUCUUAGUAUUAUUGAUAUUAUUGAUACUGUCUAUUAACCUAUUUAGAGGAAGAUAUACAAUAGAGAUUAUAUUGUAAGAAUAUAUGAUCAUAAAUUUAAGUGUGACUAUAGUAACAUUGAAUUAGCAUUAUAGUAUAAUAUUGGAUAUUGAAUGAUAACCUGUGUAUAAAUUGGGAGAACUUUGUAUAUGAUAAAUGGGUAAGUGGAAAUUGCAGGGGUAAAGGGUAGCCAAUUGAUGGUAUUGUGGAAAAAUAUCUUCAGGGUACUGAAAAUGACAAGUAUAACGACCACUACAAAAACAGGGAAGAAAAUGUCAAAUCCAUCAUUGACAAUAGCAUCCCCGUCGGGUCAAUGUUCAAUAGAGGAUAUGCUGAGUGGUGAGAAAACAGGCUCUAUACUGAGUAUGCAGACCAUGCAGAUGACUCUCCUUACGAUACAGGAAACUGAUGAGAAUGCAAGAGGCAGUAGGGAAGAGAUAGAGAGUAAGAGCCAGGAAAAACAGCAAAUAGAAGGGAAAGAGACCGACCAAGACAAAAGAAGAAGCGGGGAAACAGAAUGUUAUGAAAGAGAAGGUGCGAGAACAAGAGCACAGAGAGAAACAAGGACUAAUAGAAGACAGAGACCUAUGUAUAAACAAUAACAUGGAGGAGGAGAUUAAGUUGAUAUCAAUAAAUAUUAAUAGAAUGAAUUGACCUGCAAAAAGGAAACAAACACUGGUAAAUUUACAAAAACAGAAUACAGACAUUGUGUGUUUACAGGAAGUACAUAUUAAGAGGCAUCAGGGCAGUAGCUUAGAAUAUCCAAAAAUUGGGAAAGUCCAUUUAUCCCUUGCUCACCAAAAGAAGAGAAGAAUAGUGGUAUAUAUCAAAGAGUGGUUAAAACCCAAGCAAAUAUGUUCUGAUGAGGAUGGAAAAAUACUAAUGAUUGAAAUAAUAGUAAAUGAGAAACAAACGUUGCUUGCGGUAAUAUAUGUGCCAAACAAUAAUCAGAAGGAAUUUUAUCGCAAACUGCAUGGGAAAAUAAUAGAGACAGAAUAUGAAAACAUUUUUAGUGGGUGAUUUCAAUGCAGUGGUGGAUAUUAAGAAAGACUACAAGUAAUAAAAAAAAAUAAAAGUAAAAUGCUACCAAAUACAUUCUUUGAGAUGAUACAAGAACUAAAUCUGCAAGAUAUAUGGAUAAACCUAAAUCCAAAAAAGAAUCAAUACACCUUCUAUCCAAGUCUGCAUAAUUCAUGGUCGAGGAUAGACAUGGGAUCAACCCGGAAAUGGGAAGAAACAUAGAAAAGAUAGAAAUCAUGACAAAUACAUGGGCGGACCAUAAUCCUUUGAAAGUGAGAUGGAAAGGACAGAAAAAAAGGAGAUGGAUCUUGACCCAAAAGAUUUUGAAAGAAAAAGACUAUGUCCAAAUGAUCGGAAAAGAAUUGGAAUUAUUUGUUAAAGAAAAUAAGAAAGAACAAACAUCGCUGCAAAAUUUAUGGGAUACCACUAAAGCACACGUGCGAGGAUUAAUGAUAGCAUAUGUAGUUCGAAGAAACAAGGAAAAGGGGAAACAAUAAAUUUUGCUUCAGGAAGAACUUAAAAAAAUGGAAUUAAUACUACAAAAAGAACCUCAGAACAACAAAAUCAAAGGAGAAAGGGGCUUUAGUUAAACAUAAAAUAAAUCUAAUGACACAAGAAGAAAGGGCACAAAAUCUUAAAAUGGUGAAACAAAAUGUCUUUGAACAUGCAAAUAAACCAGGGAGAUGGCUGUCAUAU